AAUUAAUUAGCUUAUAUUUAAAGCAUGUAUUUUGAAAAUACAAGAAAGAUGAAAAUUUAUUAAUUU
rnacentral:tRNA from 1 species